rnacentral:rRNA from 1 species
GGAAUAUUGGACAAUGGGCGCAAGCCUGAUCCAGCCAUGCCGCGUGCAGGAUGACGGUCCUAUGGAUUGUAAACUGCUUUUGUACGAGAAGAAACAACUCUACGUGUAGAGUCUUGACGGUAUCGGAAGAAUAAGGAUCGGACAACUCCGUGCCAGCAGCCGCGGUAAUACGGAGGGUCCAAGCGUUAUCCGGAAUCAUUGGGUUUAAAGGGUCCGUAGGUGGUUUAGUAAGUCAGUGGUGAAAGCCCAUCGCUCAACGGUGGAACGGCCAUUGAUACUGCUAGACUUGAAUUAUUAGGAAGUAACUAGAAUAUGUAGUGUAGCGGUGAAAUGCUUAGAGAUUACAUGGAAUACCAAUUGCGAAGGCAGGUUACUACUAAUGGAUUGACGCUGAUGGACGAAAGCGUGGGUAGCGAA